rnacentral:rRNA from 1 species
UACGUAGGGCGCGAGCGUUGUCCGGAAUUUAUUGGGCGUAAAGAGCUCGUAGGCGGCCUGUUACGUCUGCUGUGAAAUCCCGGGGCUUAACCCCGGGCGUGCAGUGGAUACGGGCAGGCUGGAGGCAGGCAGGGGAGAACGGAAUUCCCGGUGUAGCGGUGAAAUGCGCAGAUAUCGGGAGGAACACCGGUGGCGAAGGCGGUUCUCUGGGCCUGUACUGACGCUGAGGAGCGAAAGCGUGGGGAGCGAACAGG